UGCUUUGAAUCACUCCAAAGUCAUGUUGCUUUCCCUCUUUGUGCUUCUGUCUCUCAUUAGAGGACUAACAGCUGCAGACACAAUCUCUCCUGACCGACAAGAAGUCAGUGGAAGAGAAGGACAAUCUGUCACACUCUCAUGUAGCUAUCAGACAGAU